CUUGGCCGACGAGCGGCGGACGGGUGAGUAAUGUCUGGGAAACUGCUGAUGGAGGGGGAUAACUACUGGAAACGGUAGCUAAUACCGCAUAACGUCGCAAGACCAAAGAGGGGGACCUUCGGGCCUCUUGCCAUCAGAUGUGCCCAGAUGGGAUUAGCUAGUAGGUGGGGUAACGGCUCACCUAGGCGACGAUCCCUAGCUGGUCUGAGAGGAUGACCAGCCACACUGGAACUGAGACACGGUCCAGACUCCUACGGGAGGCAGCAGUGGGGAAUAUUGCACAAUGGGCGCAAGCCUGAUGCAGCCAUGCCGCGUGUAUGAAGAAGGCCUUCGGGUUGUAAAGUACUUUCAGCGGGGAGGAAGGCGGUGAGGUUAAUAACCUCACCGAUUGACGUUACCCGCAGAAGAAGCACCGGCUAACUCCGUGCCAGCAGCCGCGGUAAUACGGAGGGUGCAAGCGUUAAUCGGAAUUACUGGGCGUAAAGCGCACGCAGGCGGUCUGUCAAGUCGGAUGUGAAAUCCCCGGGCUCAACCUGGGAACUGCAUUCGAAACUGGCAGGCUAGAGUCUUGUAGAGGGGGGUAGAAUUCCAGGUGUAGCGGUGAAAUGCGUAGAGAUCUGGAGGAAUACCGGUGGCGAAGGCGGCCCCCUGGACAAAGACUGACGCUCAGGUGCGAAAGCGUGGGGAGCAAACAGGAUUAGAUACCCUGGUAGUCCACGCCGUAAACGAUGUCGACUUGGAGGUUGUGCCCUUGAGGCGUGGCUUCCGGAGCUAACGCGUUAAGUCGACCGCCUGGGGAGUACGGCCGCAAGGUUAAAACUCAAAUGAAUUGACGGGGGCCCGCACAAGCGGUGGAGCAUGUGGUUUAAUUCGAUGCAACGCGAAGAACCUUACCUACUCUUGACAUCCAGAGAACUUUCCAGAGAUGGAUUGGUGCCUUCGGGAACUCUGA
rnacentral:rRNA from 1 species